rnacentral:rRNA from 1 species
GAUGAACGCUGGCGGCGUGCCUAACACAUGCAAGUCGAGCGAUUCUCUUCGGAGAAGAGCGGCGGACGGGUGAGUAACGCGUGGGUAACCUGCCCUGUACACACGGAUAACAUACCGAAAGGUAUGCUAAUACGAGAUAAUAUACUUUUAUCACAUGGUCGAAGUAUCAAAGCUUUUGCGGUACAGGAUGGACCCGCGUCUGAUUAGCUAGUUGGUAAGGUAACGGCUUACCAAGGCGACGAUCAGUAGCCGACCUGAGAGGGUGAUCGGCCACAUUGGAACUGAGACACGGUCCAAACUCCGACGGGAGGCAGCAGUGGGGAAUAUUGCACAAUGGGCGAAAGCCUGAUGCAGCAACGCCGCGUGAGUGAUGAAGGCCUUCGGGUCGUAAAGCUCUGUCCUCAAGGAAGAUAAUGACGGUACUUGAGGAGGAAGCCCCGGCUAACUACGUGCCAGCAGCCGCCGUAA